rnacentral:rRNA from 1 species
UACGUAGGGUGCAAGCGUUAAUCGGAAUUACUGGGCGUAAAGCGUACGCAGGCGGCUAUGUAAGACAGGUGUGAAAUCCCCGGGCCUAACCUGGGAACUGCAUUUGUGACUGCAUAGCUAGAGUCCGUCAGAGGGGGGUGGAAUUCCACGUGUAGCAGUGAAAUGCGUAGAGAUGUGGAGGAAUACCGAUGGCGAAGGCAGCCCCCUGGGUCAAUACUGACGCUCAUGCACGAAAGCGUGGGGAGCAAACAGG